rnacentral:misc_RNA from 1 species
UGCCGGUGGCAGUUUUUCCACCUGCGCCCUCCCUAAACCUGCUGCACGACCGCAAGCCCCUUCCAGCCAGGUCAACGGAGUGGUGUUACAAUCUUCCGAAAAGCCUGUUGGUGACCGCCCUGCGGCGUUAAACCCAUAUGUCUCCUUGCGGAGACUGAAGUUUUGACCUCAGAUCAGACAAGGAUACCCGCUGAACUUAA